UACGUAGGGGGCAAGCGUUGUUCGGAUUCAUUGGGCGUAAAGGGUGCGUAGGCGGCGCGGUAAGUCGGGUGUGAAAUCUCGGAGCUUAACUCCGAAACUGCAUUCGAUACUGCCGUGCUUGAGGACUGGAGAGGAGACUGGAAUUUACGGUGUAGCGGUGAAAUGCGUAGAUAUCGUAAGGAAGACCAGUGGCGAAGGCGGGUCUCCGGACAGUUCCUGACGCUGAGGCACGAAGGCCAGGGGAGCAAACGGG
rnacentral:rRNA from 1 species